rnacentral:lncRNA from 1 species
GCAAGUAUUAUUUAUAUUGAGGCAACUUACUCCAUUGGCAAUUGCAACUUGUGUGCAAAUCACAACAAUUUGCUGCUUAAAUAAUGCUACUGAUAUAAAGUGUACAAAUUUAUUUACAGAUUGCCUAACUUCACUGCACAGGUAAAGAAUUCAUAAUUCAAUGGGCCAUCACGUAGAUUUUCGGGCAACUACAGUUUACCUAGUAAAUGAUGGGCAAGUUUUGGUCAAUAAUAACACAGUAUGCAACAAAUGAUAUCCUGGUAUCCUUGAGUCAUCACUUGUUCCUUGCGAGUUGACCUAUCGGAGGAAAAAGCACGUAUGAGUAUGGAUUAUAUUUCACAUAAGUUGAGAGGCCUUACAGAAGUAGCUUCGAGCACAACCGUAUUGUCUUAACCUCAAAGUUUUACAGCAAAAGACUAUCUAUUUCUGAACCGAUUGAGAAACUGUUGAUUCCAAGUCAACAAUCUUGAAGAAAUUGUUAAAAUUUCUUGGAACUAAGAAAAUGAAAAAUCUGUUUGGAUAAGAUAAAUUUCGUAUGCAACACAUACAGUGAAGAUACUACAUCAGAAGCUACAUGUUGAACCAUGAUGCUACUGAUUAACUAGGAUCUUGUUGCAUAAUUAAUCACAUAGCUAUUAAGCAGUUAAAACACACCUGAAAGGGAAAAUUUGGUGUUCCAAAAGCAGAAUGCAGCUCCGCCAGUGGUGAGCACCUUGUGGACUUCGAGCUAUGGAGAAUUGCACAUUCAUGCAAAGGAUUGAGUCAGAAGCAGUAGUAAUGGGCGAAAUCCAAAAUGGCACGUACAUGAUCUAGCUUACCUGAGAAAACGACUUUGCGCAGUGUUGGCUUUCAAAAUAAAUAACAUGAAGAGUAAAUGUUGUGUUGUUAUGAAUGCAUCUUCCCUCCAUGCAUAUUAGAUUGCAUUUGU